GGGGGGGGGGGGGAAUUGAAUUGGCGCCCAAAAAAAAAAAAAGUUAGACUCUCUCUCUCUCCGUCUUCUUCAUUUCAUUUCCUUUCCUUCUCUAUAUCAAGGGUUCACUCUCCAUCUCUCUUUCAUCUCACAUCACGAAGCGACAUCUAAAAAAUUGCGGCUUGGAUCCAUAGGAUAAGAAAAUGAACAAGAGGCAGAAUAAGAAGAUGAAGAAACACUUCGACAUGAUUGGGUACGUAACAGAUGCCCACUACGGGAUUCCAAGCCGUUGCCCAUGUGGGGAACGAGUCAUCGACGAGGUCUCUCAAAAACCAAAGUAUCCAACAUAUUUUGAUACCUUUUCUGGGAGUAGAUACUUCACAUGCAAGGACUUCGAUCGAGGUAAUCUGACUAACUUUAAUUCAUUUUAGAUUUUGUUCCUUUAGAGGGGAUAUAACAGAGUUUUGGGGUUUUACUUGCAGAACGAUGGCCUCCACUUUCGUCAACCAUGGGUUAUCGGUGUCUAGGAGGUUCAGCGGUUAAGGGAGCGUAUGAAUAUGAUGGCUGAUGAGAUUGCAGAGUAUAAGGAGUUUGUGUCCCGUCUUCCAUGAGCGUCAUUGUAUGAAUUUAUGUUCUAUAUUUGUUUUGUUAAGACUUUUUUAUGGUUAAAGAACUCUUAUGUUGUCAUCGUUCAGACUAGUCUACGGUUAACUUGUAUUCGGACCUUAGCUGUUUUGAUUUGUUAAACAAAGUACUUCUCAGUUUUACUACUUUUUACAAUUGAACACAACACAAAGUAUUUCUAAGUAGAACGAAGUAUAUACUAAACCGAAUUUGUAGAGGUGGUUGCGUUAAUGAAUUGGUAUAACCGAAUUGGUAUUUCUAAAUGAUUUGGUUGAACUUACAUCACUCGAUUUAUUAGAAGAAUAAAUGAACUGGUUGCGUAACUUAAAUGAUUUGUUUUAUUAAGCUAAUGAUGAAAAGUUGUACCCAGUUGGAAAAGAAUCAUACAUAGAAUUUACUAGAAUAUCUAUAUCUAUACUAUAUUAAAAGGGUUAUAUGAGCAUCAGAGAGGACGUCCACGUCAGACAAUAAAAUCGACCAAUCAAGAGAUUCCUUUUUGACACAUCAUCACGAGUUAAAAAUAUGGGCUUCGUUUUUUUUUUGAGACAAAAUGUAAAUGUCAAUGCCCAGGAAGCCCAUUCUUUUUUCUCUUAGCCUUCUUCGUUUCACCUUUCACGAUCUAAAGUGGAGAGAUCCGACGUUUCCCUUUUUCAAUUCUCCAAACCCCCAAUUUUCUAGAUGAUUCGUGAAACCCUUUGCUCUUCCCCUCUUCGUUUCCAUCUCACGAUCUGAUCCACACGAUUAAUCAAUACAUCCUCCACAAUUGAUUGAGAUGGCUUCAGGUCCAGAUCCGAACAGCUUUGGUGAUGGUGCGAAGCGGGAUGAAACUACGACCAAGGUUCCUUCUAAGGAUCCCAAGAAGAAGGAUGAUAAGAAAGAGGAAGAUCUGUCUGAAGAGGACUUGAAACUGAAGCAGAACCUGGAGCUCUAUGUUGAGAGGGUUCAAUACCCUAAUCCUGAACUGCAGAAGGCUGCUCUCGAAAGCAUGAGGUAAUUCGUGUGUUUCUCUUAACCUAUUGUCAAUUUAAUUAGUUGAUAAUACUUAUAUAAUCUUUUUUUUUGGAUUUUAUAGUAUAAUUUUAAUUUAGUCUAUGUUUUUUUAAUCUGUAGGCAGGAGAUCUGUGCCUUAACAAGCUCCAUGACGUUGUUAGACCGGAUGCCAAAGAGGUUGUCAUGGCUAGAACUUGGAGGUUCUCAAAGGUUUUGUGGUUAGUGAUGCUACUGAUGUGGAGACGUUGUGUCUACUGGCUGAACUGAAGCACUUGAAGAAGCUGAGAAAGCUAAGCAUUACUAUAAACAAAGGUGGUGAAUUCACUGUUUCUCAGCUGUUUGUGGAUAUUCAGGACUUCUCCAAUCUGGAGAAGUUGAAAGUGGCGUGGGGAGGUAUUAAUGAACACAACAAAGCUGAAUCUACUUCUGGAGCAGUAAAAUAAUUCAUCAGGUCGAUGACACGGCUUCCUCUUAAUAUCCCAGUUACAGAUCCAAAGCCUCACAAGGCUCCAAAGAAGGUAGCCGUUCCAAGCCACCUUCCAGAAAAGUUAAUGAAACUGGACCUGCAGUGUUUUCCUGAUGCUGAACUUCCCUCAUUGGUUGAGCCUGGUAAGCUACGUAUGUUGGAAAAACUCUACAUCAAAGGAGGAACCAAGCUUACAGGCUUUGGGAAGUCAGUGCCUGAGAAGCCAACAGAGUGCAGUGUCAAGGUUUUGCGUCUGAAAUUCCUUCCCAGGCUAAAAGUGGAGUGGAGGGAGCUGAGGGAACUAUACUUUCCAAAACUGGAGUUCUUGGAUAAGUAUAAGAGCCCUCAAGUUAGUUUCUGCCCCUGUGAUGGUAUCGGAAUCUGGCGCGGCAAGUCUAACCAACUCUGAGCUGAGAGUUGCUCAGUUUUCCACAUGUUGUCUAUCCAUUCUGUUUCUGUUGUUGUAUGUUUGUUUCCUCAUUUUCCAUUGAUGUCUUCCUUGUGAAUAUAACAAUAUGAUGACACCUACAGUAUUGUAAUAGAAAAACUUUCAGACAAAUUUCUUGAUGAGCAAGUUAAAACCCAUGUUUGAUA